rnacentral:rRNA from 1 species
UACGAGUGCCUCGAGCGUUAUCCGGAAUCAUUGGGCGUAAAGGGUGUGCAGGCGGUCUGAUUAGUCUUCUGUUAAAUUUCUCGGCUUAACCGGGAACCUGCAGGGGAAACGGUCAGACUUGAGGAUGCGAGAGGUUAACGGAACUCAUAGUGUAGCGGUGAAAUGCGUUGAUAUUAUGGGGAACACCAAAUGCGAAGGCAGUUAACUGGAGCACUCCUGACGCUGAAACACGAAAGCGUGGGUAGCGAAUGGG